rnacentral:piRNA from 1 species
UGGGCAUUGUAGAGACAUGGCAGGUUCUA